rnacentral:rRNA from 1 species
AUUGAACGCUGGCGGCAGGCCUAAUACAUGCAAGUCGAACGAGUGGCGGACGGGUGAGUAAUGCUUGGGAAUCUAGCUUAUGGAGGGGGAUAACUACGGGAAACUGUAGCUAAUACCGCGUACCAUAGGAUGAGCCCAAGUGGGAUUAGGUAGUUGGUGGGGUAAAGGCUCACCAAGGCGACGAUCCCUAGCCGGUCUGAGAGGAUGACCAGCCACACUGGGACUGAGACACGGCCCAGACUCCUACGGGAGGCAGCAGUGGGGAAUAUUGCGCAAUGGGGGAAAGCUGACGCAGCCAUGCCGCGUGAAUGAAGAAGGCCUUCGGGUUGUAAAGUUCUUUCGGUAGCGAAGCGUUAACUACAGAGAAAGCACCGGCUAACUCCGUGCCAGCAGCCGCGGUAAUAC